GUCAAAUAGUCUAUUACCUUAAUUUUUUUGGAUCAGCAUCUGGAUCUAAAUUAAGACCUAAAUCAUACAUGUGUUUUGUCUAUUUUUUUUAAUGAUUUUUUGGGUCUUGAUUUUGACUCAAAAUUGAUCCAAAGAAAUUUACGCAAUAGGCUAUUUGAU
rnacentral:pre_miRNA from 1 species